rnacentral:rRNA from 1 species
AACGAACGCUGGCGGCAUGCCUAACACAUGCAAGUCGAACGAGAACUUCGGGUCUAGUGGCGCACGGGUGCGUAACGCGUGGGAACCUGCCCUUAGGUUCGGAAUAACUCCCCGAAAGGGGUGCUAAUACCGGAUAAUGUCUUCGGGCCAAAGAUUUAUCGCCUUUGGAUGGGCCCGCGUUGGAUUAGCUAGUUGGUAGGGUAAAAGCCUACCAAGGCGACGAUCCAUAGCUGGUCUGAGAGGAUGAUCAGCCACACUGGGACUGAGACACGGCCCAGACUCCUACGGGAGGCAGCAGUGGGGAAUAUUGGACAAUGGGCGAAAGCCUGAUCCAGCAAUGCCGCGUGAGUGAUGAAGGCCUUAGGGUUGUAAAGCUCUUUUACCCGGGAUGAUAAUGACAGUACCGGGAGAAUAAGCUCCGGCUAACUCCGUG